rnacentral:rRNA from 1 species
CGCGGCCUAUCAGCUUGUUGGUGAGGUAAUGGCUCACCAAGGCGACGACGGGUAGCCGGCCUGAGAGGGCGACCGGCCACACUGGGACUGAGACACGGCCCAGACUCCUACGGGAGGCAGCAGUGGGGAAUAUUGCACAAUGGGCGAAAGCCUGAUGCAGCGACGCCGCGUGAGGGAUUAUGGCCUUCGGGUUGUAAACCUCUUUCAGCAGGGAAGAAGCGAAAGUGACGGUACCUGCAGAAGAAGCGCCGGCUAACUACGUGCCAGCAGCCGCGGUAAUACGUAGGGCGCAAGCGUUGUCCGGAAUUAUUGGGCGUAAAGAGCUCGUAGGCGGCUUGUCACGUCGGUUGUGAAAGCCCGGGGCUUAACCCCGGGUCUGCAGUCGAUACGGGCAGGCUAGAGUUCGGUAGGGGAGAUCGGAAUUCCUGAUGUAGCGGUGAAAUGUGCAGAUAUCAGGAGGAACACCGGUGGCGAAGGCGGAUCUCUGGGCCGAUACUGACGCUGAGGAGCGAAAGCGUGGGGAGCGAACAGGAUUAGAUACCCUGGUAGUCCACGCCGUAAACGGUGGGCACUAGGUGUGGGCAACAUUCCACGUUGUCCGUGCCGCAGCUAACGCAUUAAGUGCCCCGCCUGGGGAGUACGG